rnacentral:RNase_P_RNA from 1 species
UGAGUCGAUCGGAUGGUUGCUCUGGGCUUGUUGUUAUAACCCCAGAGAGGAAAGUCCGGGCACCACAGGACGUGAUGCUUCCUAACGGGAAGAUAUUUGUUUAUUCAAAUAAUGGAAAGUGCAGCAGAAAAUAUACCGCCUUCGGGUAAGGGUGAAAUGGUGGUGUAAGAGACCACCCUUCCUUAAAUAAAUUUUAGGUAAGUGUAAACCCCAUCAGGUGCAAGAUUGAAUAGGUUCUGAGAUGUUGUUCGCAUUGAUUGAAGAACGGGUAAAUCGCUGGAUAUUUAUGGUGACGUAAAUACUAGAGAAAUGACCAUCCCUAAAAUUAAAUUAUUGAUUUUAGGACAAAACUCGGCUUACAGAUCGACUCAAUUU